UACCAGCACCCCGAGUGGUCGGGGCGAUUAUUGGGCCUAAAGCAUCCGUAGCCGGUUCUGCAAGUCCCCCGUUAAAUCCAGCCGCUCAACGGUUGGGCUGCGGAGGAUACUACGUGGCUAGGAGGCGGGAGAGGCAAGCGGUACUCAGUGGGUAGGGGUAAAAUCCUUUGAUCCAUUGAAGACCACCAGUGGCGAAGGCGGCUUGCCAGAACGCGCUCGACGGUGAGGGAUGAAAGCUGGGGGAGCAAACCGG
rnacentral:rRNA from 1 species